GGCUUCGUAGCUCAGAUAGUAGAACGUUUGCCGCGUUGAGGCAUGCUGCGUCUGUCACUGGUUUGAAUCCAGUCGAAGCCC
rnacentral:tRNA from 1 species